CACCCAUCUAUUGCUCAAGGUUUUUCUUGUUCCAGCUUCAGCUCUAUCAACGAUUUCCCAUACAUUGUUGUCUUUUAAUGAUUGUUGUUCAGAGUUGAUGGCUUUUAUCCAUUCUUCUUUUUCAGAACCGGUUGUGGCUUCGCUGUAGGGAAGGUAAGUGAAAUAGUCAUCCAGUUUUGCAGGCUGUUUUCUUAUUCUU